GGAUGUGAGGGCAAUCUGGCUGCGACAUCUGUCACCCCAUUGAUCGCCAGGGUUGAUUCGGCUGAUCUGGCUGGCUAGGUGGGUGUCCCCUUCCUCCCUCAACGAUCCAUGUGCAUCCCUCCCGAAGCUGCGCGCUCGGUCGAAGAGGACGACCACCCCCGAUAGAGGAGGACCGUUCCUCGGUCAAGGGUAUACGUGUAGCUGCGCUCCCCUGCUAGAACCUCCAAACAAGCUCUCAAAAAUAGGCUGAACUGCUCACCAAUUUUGCUUUGUUAGGUUUAAUUGGUAAUAAUAAUAUAA
rnacentral:snRNA from 1 species